rnacentral:rRNA from 1 species
ACCCAGACUCCUACGGGAGGCAGCAGUGGGGAAUAUUGCACAAUGGGCGCAAGCCUGAUGCAGCCAUGCCGCGUGUAUGAAGAAGGCCUUCGGGUUGUAAAGUACUUUCAGCGGGGAGGAAGGCGAUAAGGUUAAUAACCUUGUCGAUUGACGUUACCCGCAGAAGAAGCACCGCCUAACUCCGUGCCAGCAGCCGCGGUAAUACGGAGGGUGCAAGCGUUAAUCGGAAUUACUGGGCGUAAAGCGCGCGCAGGCGGUCUGUCAAGUCGGAUGUGAAAUCCCCGGGCUCAACCUGGGAACUGCAUUCGAAACGGGCAGGCUGGAGUCUUGUAGAGGGGGGUAGAAUUCCAGGGGUAGCGGGGAAAUGCGUAGAGAUCUGGAGGAAAGCAGGUGGCGAAGGCGGCCCCCUGGACAAAGACUGACGCUCAGGUGCGAAAGCGUAGGGAGCAAACAGGAUUAGAUACCCCUGUAC